rnacentral:rRNA from 1 species
UGAGGAAUAUUGGUCAAUGGACGAGAGUCUGAACCAGCCAAGUCGCGUGAAGGAAGACGGCCCUACGGGUUGUAAACUUCUUUUGUAAGGGAAUAAAUAGUCUUACGCGCUAAGACGUUGCAGGUACCUUACGAAUAAGGAUCGGCUAACUCCGUGCCAGCAGCCGCGGUAAUACGGAGGAUCCGAGCGUUAUCCGGAUUUAUUGGGUUUAAAGGGUGCGCAGGCGGCAUGUUAAGUCGGCGGUGAAAUUUUGCAGCUCAACUGUAAAAGAGCCUUCGAAACUGGCAAGCUUGAGUGUGGAUGAAGUAGGCGGAAUUUGUGGUGUAGCGGUGAAAUGCAUAAAUAUCACAAAGAACACCGAUUGCGCAGGCAGCUUACUAAACCAUAACUGACGCUCAUGCACGAAGGCGUGGGGAUCAAACAG